UGUUUACAUUACUACUAAUCGCCUGCAAGUCUCCUCAUAGUUUGUCACGUCGAUAGAAGGAAAUAAAACCAUUCGUCAUGAAACUAUUAGUUUUUGUUACAUUGAUUUUAUCAAUCGUUGCUUGGGCAAGUGCAAAAUCAAAACUCUUCUGUGAUUUUGCGUGUGCACAUGACUACUUUCCUGUCUGUGGCAGUAAUGGACAGACAUAUGACAACCAAUGCAUAUGUGAGUGUCGCGGUGCAUCGGUUGCUCACAAAGGCAAAUGCUAAUAAAAUCAUGAAGCAAAUAAAAGAAAUUAAUAAAAUUCAAAACAAAAUAUAGCAAUAAAUCAUUCAAUUAUUUGUUUUAUUUAAAAGAGCUGUACUUAAGUCACAGGAUUCUCAUAAAUAAUGCUCAUGUUAUUUAGUGACAUAUCACUAUAUUUAAUACGCAGUUGUUCCAGUC